UUGAAAGGGAAACGAUUGAAGUCAGUCAUACUAACGGGAAAUCAACCUUUUGAGCUUGGUCUCGUGGGUUUUGAAGAGUUUUAAAGCCUUCGGAUUCGCGGGAUUGGGAUCUCUUGGUGUACUUUUUCAUACGGUUAGUCAACAUCGGUUUUGAAUGUCAUAAAAUGACUGGAGGAAUGUAGUUUCGAUCUUGUAUUGAAGUAUCAUAGCCUUUGGUAGAUGUGAUGUUUGAGACCGAGGAUUGCAACGGAUACCUUUAGGGCUAUUCGUCUGAUCUCUGAUACGUUGCCUUGAUGUUGAAAGCUUGCUUGUGAUGUUAGGGUAUUACGGUCAAAAGGUUAGAACGAAUUAGAUUCGUUAAGGAUGUUGACGUA
rnacentral:rRNA from 1 species